rnacentral:rRNA from 1 species
GACAGAGGCCCCGAGCGUUAGGCGGAAUCACUGGGCUUAAAGCGUGUGUAGGCGGACUUCUAAGUACCUUGUGAAAUCCCACGGCUUACCCGUGGAACUGCUCGGUAUACUGGGAGUCUUGAGCCACCUAGGGGCGAGUGGAACAAAUGGUGGAGCGGUGAAAUGCGUAGAUAUCAUUUGGAACGCCAAUGGUGAAAACAACUCGCUGGGGGUGUGCUGACGCUGAGACACGAAAGCCAGGGGAGCGAACGGG